GACGAACGCUGGCGGCGUGCUUAACACAUGCCAGUCGAACGGAAAAGCCCUGCUUUUGUGGGGUGCUCGAGUGGCGAACGGGUGAGUAACACGUGAGUAACCUGCCCUUGACUUUGGGAUAACUUCAGGAAACUGGGGCUAAUACCGGAUAGGAGCUCCUGCUGCAUGGUGGGGGUUGGAAAGUUUCGGCGGUUGGGGAUGGGCUCGCGGCUUAUCAGCUUGUUGGUGGGGUAGUGGCUUACCAAGGCUUUGACGGGUAGCCGGCCUGAGAGGGUGACCGGCCACAUUGGGACUGAGAUACGGCCCAGACUCCUACGGGAGGCAGCAGUGGGGAAUAUUGCACAAUGGGCGGAAGCCUGAUGCAGCAACGCCGCGUGCGGGAUGACGGCCUUCGGGUUGUAAACCGCUUUCGCCUGUGACGAAGCGUGAGUGACGGUAAUGGGUAAAGAAGCACCGGCUAACUACGUG
rnacentral:rRNA from 1 species